rnacentral:lncRNA from 1 species
GUUUUUUCACAUAAAUAAGUUUUAAUAUUUGAAUAAAUGUGUUUUGUUCUGUGUGGUGAUAGUUGAUAAAAGUACAAAAAUACCUGAAAUAAUGUGAUUUAUAAUUUAUGCUUGAUUUAAUUAAUAUGAAAUGUUUUAUUAUAAUGCUGUAAAAUGUUUGAUUGUCUGCUUAAUAUAAGAGAAUUUCUUAAAAAUUUUAAAAAUUUAUUAAUACAAUAUUAUAUUGUGUACUGUACUGCACAACUAUUUGAUGGAAUGGUAGGCUGCAACAAUCAGCCUCACAUUCAGCCUAUCAUAUUACACUUCAGCCUCGUGGAAAGGCACAGAAAUAAAGGCCUCUGUGAUUUUCAUUCUGCAUAAAAUAUUUUUCUUCAUCAGUUCUAAUUAUUUUUUAAGCAAAAGAAUUUCUUUUAAAAAUGAAAGAAUCAUUUCUUUCAUUGAAUAUAUAUUCUGAUCAGUAUAAAUUCAGUUAAUUUCAUAAUUUUUUUGGAAUGCAUUAAUUUGCACUGUGUAAGGUUUUCCUGUAAUUAACAAAUAAACUUAUUUAAUA